rnacentral:rRNA from 1 species
CCUACGGGAGGCAGCAGUGAGGAAUAUUGGUCAAUGGGCGGAAGCCUGAACCAGCCAAGUCGCGUGAGGGAUUAAGGCCCUAUGGGUCGUAAACCUCUUUUGUCAGGGAGCAAGGUCGUCCACGUGUGGGCGUAUGGAGAGUACCUGAAGAAAAAGCAUCGGCUAACUCCGUGCCAGCAGCCGCGGUAAUACGGAGGAUGCGAGCGUUAUCCGGAUUUAUUGGGUUUAAAGGGUGCGUAGGCGGGACCUUAAGUCAGCGGUAAAAUUGCGGUGCUCAACGCCGUAGAGCCGUUGAAACUGGGGCUCUUGAGUGAGCGAGAAGUAUGCGGAAUGCGUGGUGUAGCGGUGAAAUGCAUAGAUAUCACGCAGAACCCCGAUUGCGAAGGCAGCCUCCUGGGACAUAACUGACGCUCAGGCACGAAAGCGUGGGGAGCAAACAGGAUUAGAUACCCUUGUAGUC